rnacentral:rRNA from 1 species
UACGUAGGCAGCGAGCGUUGUUCGGAGUUACUGGGCGUAAAGCGUGCGUAGGCGGUUUUGUAAGUUUGGUGUGAAAUCUCCCGGCUUAACUGGGAGGGUGCGCCGAAAACUGCAAGGCUGGGGUGUGGGAGAGGUAGGCGGAAUUCCUGGUGUAGCGGUGAAAUGCGUAGAUAUCAGGAGGAACACCUGUGGUGUAGACGGCUUACUGGACCAUGACUGACGCUGAGGCACGAAAGCGUGGGGAGCAAACAGG